rnacentral:pre_miRNA from 1 species
CUUACUGAGAGUUCCUUGGCAUUCUGUCCACCUCCUUGCUGUGAUCUUGCAGAAAGUUUCCCAAAUCUGUUGUUGUUUUGGAGCGGAGGUGGGCAUACUGCCAAUGGAGCUGUGUAGG